rnacentral:rRNA from 1 species
UACGGAGGGUGCAAGCGUUGUCCGGAAUCACUGGGCGUAAAGGGCGCGUAGGCGGCUCGGUAAGUAGGGGGUGAAAUCCUGCGGCUUAACCGCAGGGCUGCCUUCUAAACUGUCGAGCUUGAGCACGGUAGAGGCAGAUGGAAUUCCCGGUGUAGCGGUGGAAUGCGUAGAGAUCCGGAAGAACACCGGUGGCGAAGGCGGCCCGCUGGGCAGGAAGACACCGCAAGGUGUCGGCUGACGCUGAGGAGCGAAAGCGUGGGGAGCGAACAGG